rnacentral:misc_RNA from 1 species
GGAUGCUAUCCUUAACACAAUUGCGGAGGGGAGGUAUCGAACUGCAGACCUUGGUGGCUCUUCAUCUACAACUGAUUUUACAAGGGCAAUAUGUGACCAUCUUUAAAGAUUCCCUAUGGAGAUUUUUUUUAAAAGAAGAAGUUUUGCACUGUUUUCAACUAAGUAGUUGCACUUUUUAUUUUGGAGUCAUGUUUAAAACCUGCUUUUAGUUGUUUUCCAGAGGAGAAUAAGACCGCAUAACUGUGAUUGUUUGUAUAGAAGAUAUUAAAAUUGCUGUUCUAAAGAUACAGGAGCCAAAUACUGUUCUCCUGCCUGCUAUAAUGUCUCGAAAUGAACAGAUCAUUGGAUUCAUUAAGAGGGCUAAUUUUCCACGCUGUAAGUUUUUUUUGAGUAGCGUAUUGUUGUCAUUACAGCAAGAAAUAAAGGGUGAUUAUUUCUA